rnacentral:piRNA from 1 species
UUGCACGAAACUCAGAGCAUGGAGGA